rnacentral:tRNA from 1 species
GGAGAGAUAGUUUAAUGAUAAAACGAUAGUUUUUACUAUAGAUGUAAGUUCGAGUCUUACUAUCUCCA